AAGUAGGAUUUCAGGAUCUUGUGUACAGAGUAAGAUGAACAGUAGGGAAUCGGUUCCUUUGGAGAGCAUUGUAAGUGGAGAGCAGCAGCAGGGACAAAUGACGGGAGGAAGGAAAGUUCUGGGUGUGUUCGUGGAAUGGUGGUAUCCAGGUUAUGGCGUCAUCACCAGAUGCUCAGGCACCCAGGCUAGAACCCUUGGAAUCAAGGACAUAACAAGAAGUCAGCAAUCUGCAAACCAGGAAAGAGCCUGCACCAGAGCCCAACAACGAUGCCACCCUGCUCUUGGACUUCCAGGCUCCAGA
rnacentral:lncRNA from 1 species